AAAGGGAGACCUAAUUCGGGUAGAAGACGAAAAAAUAGUAGUCGAAACCAAGAAUCAAUCCCAAAAGGUCGGAACGAGGUAUGUGGCUUUCAAACUAGGUUCUGGGUUCACAAAAGACCUGAAUCAGGAACAAGGGCUAUUAGCUCAGGUGGUUAGAGCGCACCCCUGAUAAGGGUGAGGCCCCUGGUUCGAGUCCAGGAUGGCCCACCUGCACAGGUGGCAAAAACAAGAGAAACGAGGAAUCAGCACCUUAUCUUACUUACAUAGUAAGAGAGAAUGCUGGCUCUGAGUAAAGAGUCCAGAGGAACCUUGAAAACUGCAUAGAGCUAGGUGAAAAAGCCAAAAAAGAAGACCGCAAG
rnacentral:tRNA from 1 species